GCAUCGGUAGUUCAGUAGUGAAAUACUCGCCUGCCACGCGGGCUGCCAGGGUUCGAUUCCCGGCCGAUGCA
rnacentral:tRNA from 1 species